CUUCUUGCCUUUUCUAGGGCCACUCCCGCUGCAUAUGGAUGUUCCCAGGCUAGGGGUCUAAUCAGAGCUAUACCCACAGGCCUACGCCACAGCCACAGCAAUGUGGGAUCCAAGCCGCGUCUGUGACCUACACCACAGCUCACGGCAAAGCCAGAUCCUUAACCCACUGAGCAAGGCCAGGGAUCGAACCUGCAACCUCAUGGUUCCUAGUCAGAUUUGUUAAGCACUGCACCACAACGGGAACUCCUGCCCAUGUCUUCUUAACUGUCCUCCUUGGGCUGUGGAAUCCAGAAAGGUAAAGCAUGUUCCCCAAAGAUACACAGCAAGUGCUUAGACAUGAAUCCUGGAUCUCUGACUUGUUUCUACCUCUGCGUGAGUUAACAAUGGUUGACCAAUAGCAAACUUAUUUUGAAAGUGCUUGCUAGCUCUUUUUCCGUCACUAGAUAUUACCUGGUAGUUGGCCUCAUAAAUAUUGUAUCAUUAUGACUCCUAAUAUCUCUGUCAGAGUUCUUAACUUUUACGAUAAUAGGCAACUUGGAAACACUUUGCCAGACAUUAGGCCAUAAUGCACAGAAUAAGUGACUUCAAAUGGGUUGUAGCAAUCUAGAGCAUGUCUGGGAAACAAAUAACUGAUACUGGACAACAGUGAAAAUCAAAGGCUAAGUGCUGUCUUCGUGAAAUGAAAUAAAAUAAAAUGAAAUGAGGGCUGCUUUCUGGUCCUUUGUCUCACUGUGAACUGCUACAGCAGCUGCUUUCCGUUUCACUCUAAACAAUUCCUUGAAACAAUAAACCCAGGAAGAAACUAUGGGAGGCAAACCCAAUCAUUCUCUAACAACACCUAUUGCACUCUCUGCUGUGUGGCUCUAUUAGUGUAACCCGAAGGUCUAAUUCCCUAUGUUUUAAUCUCAAUUCCAAAAGCAAAGUGCCCCCCCAGAGAACUGCGGCCAUCCUUUGAGGGCAAACAAUUACUCGUUGCGACACCAUCACCCAACUUUUGACUAAGAACACUGUUACACAGAUGAAACAGGUUAAAAUAAAUUUCAAGGGCACUCUUGAUGAGAAAAAGAAAAUUUUUAAAAUUCAAACUUGAGUGAAAUUGUGACUAGAAGGAUGAAAGCGUUUUGCAAGCGGGUAAUGGUGACAGGUGUAGGGAUUUUUAAAUUUAUUUUCUUUAUGUUAAUCCUCUGUCUCCUUUCUACCCAGCUUACAGAAAUAGGAAAGUGCUUUCAAAAACUGAAGUAAUCGAAAUAAAAAAUUUAGAUGAGAAAAUACCAACUCCCAGAGUGACAGAGAGGAAUGUAGACCAUAAAUUAACAGUGAGUUGCUCCUAAGCUUCAGAAGAACCAAAAUAAAAAGGGAAACAGAGUCAUUUAUAAGAUUAGCAUGUCGACAAGAUCAAAAAUGAAUCAAAUGUUCAGGAGAAUCAACUUCCUGGAACUGAGACCUGGAAGCAUUUUUCCUGUGGCUUCAGAUGCCCCAGAAGUUCCUGCAGGCAGGUCCACCCUCCUGUGUCUGCUGUGGCAUCAGUCAAAGCCCCAACCUAGCCAUGCAUUUGGAACAUGCUGAUACCAGACCUCACCAAUGAAAUCAGUAUCUCCACGGAUGGCUCCCAGGAGUCAGUAUUUAAAACAAGCAAACAAACAAAAAGGAGUUCCCAUCGUGGCUCAGCCGUUAACGAAACUGACUAGUAUCCAUGAGGAUGCGGGUUCAAUCCCUGGCCUUGCUCAGAGGGUUAAGGAUCCAGCGUUGCUGUGAGCUGUGGUGUAGGUUACAGACGAGGCUGGGAUACCGCGUUGCUGUGUGUGUCUGGCAGUUGUAGCUCCGAUUCGACCCCUAGCCUGGGAGCCUCCAUAUGCCAAGGGUGCAGCCCUCAAAAGCAAAAAACAAAACAAACAAACAAAAAAAACCCACAGUUCUCCAAGUGAUUCCAGUGUACAACCAGUGUCAAAGGCCUUUGUGAUUGAUGCUGUCCCCUCUCUCCCACAGGAACCUCCCCAUUCCACAUCCCCAUUGAGAAGCGCAGGGCAACAUAUAAGACUUACCGUGGUUUGGAGAUUCCACUUCUUUCCUGCCUCUAUAAGUUAUGGUUUUGACCAUAACCAUCUUCUCCAGGGGUCUCUCCUGUGUCUUGGAGAUGACCCAGCUCCUGCUGUUAAUCUUGAUGUUUUAACUUUUAAUUCAAAGGUGACACCAACUGUAAUUUUGGGGUGACCUUUGUCUCUUUAGUCACAGUCACACACUCAGACAUAAAUCACGAUUUUUCUUUUGAAAUAAUAUAGGACAUGUCAUGCACUUUAACAGGUGCUACAGAAUGGCUCACUCACUACCCUCCAUCUCCUCUGCCUUCAAUUAGGUAGGGUGGAAAAUUAACUUUCCAGCUACCCCUAAAACCAUGCAGCAUGGUUCAGGUCAUAAACAUAGGCAAGUCCUUGGGGAAAACUCCUAUUCCUAAAUAAAAAAUGAAGCUUUGAGUUCCCACCGUGGUUAACGAAUCCGACUAGGAACCAUGAGUUGUGGGUUCGAUCCCUGGCACCGCUCAGUGGGUUAAGGAUCUGGUGUUGCUGUGAGCUGUGAUGCAGGUCGGAGACUCGGCUCCCACGUUGCUGUGGCUCUGGCAUAGGCUUGGCAGCUACCGCUCCAAUUAGACCCCUAGCCUGGGAACCUCCAUAUGCCAUAGAUGCGGGCCUAGAAAAGCCAAAAAAAAAAAAACAAUGAAGCUUCAUGAAGAGAAGGUUUUUGUGCAUCUCCUUUCUUCCUGCCUGGGAGCAGCCAACUUUAAAUCAUACGGAUGAAAGGAACACACUAAGCGCAGUGAGGGAGAACACGGGUGAUGACGUGGAGGGCACCAGCCCUAAACUUCCCACCUGGGAGUUCUUAUUACAUGAAAAAAACAGACCCCUGUUUGGUAUUAAGCCACUAUACUCAAGUCUCUGCUGCUUACAGUCACAUGCAAUCCCAGCCAACACGUGUGUGGUACCACUGGACAAGGUGAACUAGAACAGCGUUUUUACAAGCUACAGUUACAUACAGCGAUUUACAAGUUACAUACUAACUCAACCCACGAUGGGUAAAUAGAGGUAGACAUGGACAUAGAUGAUCAAGAGAUGAUUGAUAUAUAAUAGAGAUAAACAGACUUCAGUAGAAAUGAAGGGUUUCACUCAUUUGCUCAACUUCUUCUCAUCCACCACAAGUUAAUAUUCUUGCAACUUUUUCUCUGCUCUAAGAAUUGAGAAAGGAUAUUGGAGGCUUCUCUUAUUCCUGGGAAGGAAAAACAGACUUCCUUUUUUAUUUCAAAGAUCAUAAAGAAGUGGCUCGUGAUGGGGAAGGGCCCGAAGGAGUAGAGGAAGGGGAUGUGGCCCAAUCCAGAGCCCGGAAAGCCUCCCCCAAAGCAGGAGGAGAAACAGAAGGUGUAACAAGUCUCUCAAGGGGUGAAGACCAGGUCCCACUCUCACAGGAAAAUGGGGCAUGGAUGAUAAGGAUCAUGACCUUGAGAGCUGGCAGGGUCCCCUGCAGUGGGUGGCGGGAGCUUGAAGGACAGCUCGGUGGGCCUCCCUGAUGAGCUCUGCCUGCAACGCUGAACAGCAUCUCAUUUAGCACAAGGUUCACUGUAAAGAUCAAGGACACCAUGAGAGAGCUUCCUGGUAUUUCUUGGCACCACUUAAAUUCUGGGAUUCUUGUUAAUUCACCGCAGGCAAAGGGAGCCCCCAAAAUAACCGAUACUGAGCUCGCUUUGCUAAGUGGGAACUUAAAAUUAAUAUACCCGGAGAAAACAAAGAAGUGUGAGCACUGAUGAUUCUUUGCAUCCGAGCACUGGAGAAUUUAUUACUGCCCGGCCCCCUGUUGAAAGAGGCAUUCAUUCUGUAGGACAAUCUUGGGGAGUAACCCAGUUGCGGAGGAUUGCAUUUAUCUGAAAAUAAUUAAACACUGGAGCAAAGUCUGAUAUUUGUUUUUGAUCAAACUAAAGGAAAAGGAUAAGGAACCCAGCUGCCCCUUCUGGUGAGGCUGCAGAAUCAAAACUGAGGAGUGAAAGGGACUUGGAAGACCAUCUGGUCCUACUCCUGUGAUGCUCAAAUUCCCUCCCCAACCUCCCCAUCACUGCACCCCCUUGAACCCUGAUUUGAGCAUGGCUUCUGGGCACAAAGUCCGGGCACAGUGGGACAAACGGAAAGUGAGGGCACAAGCCCUGCCCUCAAGACACUCAAAACAGAGAAGUGAGCCAUCAGGGCAUAAAGGUUUGUAACAACACUGGGUUUGGGUGGGAAGUAGGGCGAGGAGACUGUGUAAAGUCUGGAAUAGAGGCUUAUCCCCAAGGACAAGAGCCUGCAGUGAGGGUCUCCAGGGGGUGGGAGUCAAUGAGAAACUGUUCUAAGGACACAGAAGGAACACCUUGGUGGCGUGGGGACAGACUUGACCAGUUUCACAAUGUUGCUGCGGAGGGAGGCAGGACAGGGGCACUGAAAGGUCUAGCUUAGGUGGCAACAGGAAAAGGAAAAGAGUUUUUUAAAAAAUCACAUAUAUAUGCUAGGUAAUGCUAUAUUCACAAUUCAAAUCCUACUUCCUACUCUGUUCUGUAAUAUUAAUUUGCCCCAGGAAGAUUAUUGCAUUUCAUCUAGAGUUUUGAAGCCAUUUGGAAUGCACUCAGGUCCUUCCACCACCUUUGUCUAGCAAUGAACAUUACUGAACCCCGCAGCAGUCAGCUCUUCCAGCAGCAUGUGAGGGACUAUUGGGGGAAUUUGAAAAUUUUAUGGUCUGAAAAGUGGGCCUUAGCACUUUAGCUUUUAUUCUCUCAGAGAGCUUAUAAAUCCCUCUUCAUUUAGCAGUUUUCAAGACAGUGACAGCUUUUGUUAGUCAGGCUAAAGAGAGAUUAGAAAUAAAAAUUUUAACCAUUAAUCCUCACUGAUUAAAGUGAAACCAGAAAUCAAAUUGUUACCAACUGUGUGCUAAUUUCAGCUUAAUUCUUUGGCAAGAGGUGUUGGAAAUUUUCAGGCGGCUGCACUAAUUCACAAUGCCUGACUACCGAUGGCAGCAAGUCAAGGUCUCCUUUCCUCCUGGGUCCAGGGUGUGAACAAUGACUAUUUCAAAAUCAGCCCAAUAAAAUAUAAACAUUAAAUCCUUCGCUAUGUUGUUUCUCAGCCAUCAUUUCCCACACCACU
rnacentral:lncRNA from 1 species